UCUCACUUCUGAAAAGAACAGUGUCCAUGCCGCCAUCUUGAAAGCAGAGACCAGGUCCACACCAGGCAUACCCAACCUGCCAGUACUUUGAUCUUGGACUUUCCAACCUCCAGAAUGGCAAAUUCCUCGAUUCAAGGAGGAACACCAGGUGGCUGUCUGGGGGUCAUCAAAGGUGACCUGAAAAGCCCUUUUCUGCACUGGAGACAUGACGUUGGAACAGGGACAACAUCUCUAAUAUCAGGAAGGGUACCAGAGGUGACUUGCUGGGAGAAAAGGGAGGAGGAGACACUCAUGAAGCCGGCGUAGACCCAAAACCCAGCUUGGACUCAAACCCAGCUGGGCCUCUCCAAGAUCAGCCAAACGCAGCCAGACUGCAGAC